rnacentral:rRNA from 1 species
AGUGAACGCUGGCGGUAGGCCUAACACAUGCAAGUCGAACGGCAGCACAGUAAGAGCUUGCUCUUACGGGUGGCGAGUGGCGGACGGGUGAGGAAUACAUCGGAAUCUACUUUUUCGUGGGGGAUAACGUAGGGAAACUUACGCUAAUACCGCAUACGACCUACGGGUGAAAGCAGGGGAUCUUCGGACCUUGCGCGAUUGAAUGAGCCGAUGUCGGAUUAGCUAGUUGGCGGGGUAAAGGCCCACCAAGGCGACGAUCCGUAGCUGGUCUGAGAGGAUGAUCAGCCACACUGGAACUGAGACACGGUCCAGACUCCUACGGGAGGCAGCAGUGGGGAAUAUUGGACAAUGGGCGCAAGCCUGACCCAGCCAUACCGCGUGGGUGAAGAAGGCCUUCGGGUUGUAAAGCCCUUUUGUUGGGAAAGAAAAGCAGCAGGUUAAUAUCCCGCUGUUCUGACGGUACCCAAAGAAUAAGCACCGGCUAACUUCGUG